rnacentral:lncRNA from 1 species
AGGCUGGACUCCAGCAUGAGCACGACAGCGCACUGCCAUAGCACCUCGAGGUUCAUAUGCGCAUCAUCUAGGUUCAUAUGCGCAUCAUCGAGGCUGCACUGCGUCUGCUUCGCGAUGUCGAAGUAGGUCGCCAGGAUGGCCAUCUUGAGGUCCCCUGCACGGUAGCCAAACCCCCUGGGCCAGCAUGUUGAUGGAGUCUACGGCAGCCGAUGCGCGACGACGAAGGCCUUCCGGAUGCGCAUGCAGUUCAAGCGCCGGAUGUUGUGGCCCACCCAGUCGCGAAGGACGGACCGGCGUGGAACGCGGCCGAGAGGUCGGAACUCGGAAGAGGAGAAGCGCUUGGAGAAGGUGGAGAGGUCGCCCGGGCGGAUUGAGGUCUCGUAGCUGUACACCUCGACAAGUCGCCGCAGGAUCUGAAUCCAGCGAGGCGAGAGAGGAUUAGGCCUGGCGGCUGGGAGGAGGAGAGAAGGGAGGAGAUGGG